rnacentral:rRNA from 1 species
ACAAACUUGCUUUGGCGGUGGGCCCCUGCCUGCCGCCAGAGGACAUAAACUUACAACCAAAUUUUUUAUAAACUUGUCACGAGAUUAUUUUUAAUAGUCAAAACUUUCAACAACGGAUCUCUUGGUUCUC